rnacentral:rRNA from 1 species
GAUGAACGCUGGCGGCGUGCCUAAUACAUGCAAGUCUAGCGAACGGACGAGAAGCUUGCUUCUCUGAUGUUAGCGGCGGACGGGUGAGUAACACGUGGAUAACCUACCUAUAAGACUGGGAUAACUUCGGGAAACCGGAGCUAAUACCGGAUGAUAUUUUGAACCGCAUGGUUCAAAAGUGAAAGACGGUCUUGCUGUCACUUAUAGAUGGAUCCGCGCUGCAUUAGCUAGUUGGUAAGGUAACGGCUUACCAAGGCAACGAUGCAUAGCCGACCUGAGAGGGUGAUCGGCCACACUGGAACUGAGACACGGUCCAGACUCCUACGGGAGGCAGCAGUAGGGAAUCUUCCGCAAUGGGCGAAAGCCUGACGGAGCAACGCCGCGUGAGUGAUGAAGGUCUUCGGAUCGUAAAACUCUGUUAUUAGGGAAGAACAUAUGUGUAAGUAACUGUGCACAUCUUGACGGUACCUAAUCAGAAAGCCACGGCUAACUACGUG